AAAAUAGGGAAAGAAAGGGCUUGUGGAGUACGGAAGGAGAAACAAGUUUGCGGAGAGAGGGCUGGGCUGUUGGACUUGCUGGCUGGGAGCUACAGAUAUUUAGCUCAGGGAGAGACAGGAAAAGCACAAAUUGGAGGUGCAGGCCCCAUCCCAAGCCUCACAUCAAGAGUGGAUAGCCUUUCUCUACUCUUCGGUUACUGGACCACAUAGAAACCAGCUCCUGUGAAACAGCUAAACACACACUGGAUUCACUGACUUGUACAGGCAUUCCUUCUGUGCCCAGGAUCGUAGUAACUUCUGGGAGGUGGUGGCUGGUGACUUUAAAAUGAGAGACAAUGUCAUCUUGUGCACAAAUGACGUCUUCCUCAGUAGAGCCAUAUGUCAGGGAAAUAGUCAGGAAAGGGUUUA
rnacentral:lncRNA from 1 species